rnacentral:rRNA from 1 species
AUGGACGAAGACGACGUCGCCAGCAGCCACGGCGGCCGGGGCAGAGGCUGCCCGUGCCUGCCGUUCUGCUUCUGGGGCUCCCGUGUACCGGCCGCGCCGGAGCGGCGGAGGCGUCGCCGGCGCAGGUUCAGGCUCAGGCUGAGGCUCAGCCUGUCGUGGUUCUCGUGGUCGUGGCGGUGGCUCCGGAAGAGCCGCGGAGGCAAGAGCUCGGAGGCGGGCGGCAAGAACAAGGGGAAGCGGAGGAGGAAGCUGCUGCUGCUCCUGCUCAGGUCGCUGCAGGUCAAGAAGGCGCUCGCGUCCGUCUCGUCGGGAAGCAGCUUCCUACCAAAGCUGCAGGUUGGCGGCUCCGGCGGCGCCAAGAAGCAAAAACGGAGCAAGCCAUGGCGAACGGUCGAUGACGACGCCGCACCAACCACGAGCUGCGCUAAAGAGACGGCGCCUGUGCGGCCGGAGACGAUCAGCCCGCCUUUCCCGAGGCCGGCCGAUGGCGUGUGGCGAGCCCCGUCGUCCAGGUUCCACUCGCUCCAGCUCGACCGUGGCAGCGCCGAGCCUUCCGCAGGCGGCCUGUGGACGGCGGCCACGACGCUGGGCGUGAUCGUGUUCUUCGGCCGCGUCACCGCGGUGCUCUUCUUGUGCUCGUGCAUGUACGGCGCGCGGUGGCUCGGGGCUGCACGGACCGACGCCAGGGGCGGCAUUGCCGAUGGCGGCAGCAGCCGGAGGCUCGGCGACCGGGUGGCGCUGGACUACUUGUGCGCGGAGGAGCACAAGAAGGUGGUCAUGUGUGGGUUGCUGGACAGAGCCGGCGGCAAGAGGCCGUCGUCGCGCUUUUGUAUAUAG